GUGGGGAAUCUUCCGCAAUGGACGAAAGUCUGACGGAGCAACGCCGCGUGAGCGAAGAAGGUCUUCGGAUCGUAAAGCUCUGUCAUUCGGGACGAAGUUGCCUAUUGCGAACAGUGGUAGGCAGUGACGGUACCGAAAGAGGAAGCCACGGCUAACUACGUGCCAGCAGCCGCGGUAAUACGUAGGUGGCGAGCGUUGUCCGGAAUUACUGGGCGUAAAGGGCGCGUAGGCGGGAUAGCAAGUCUGUUGUGAAAUUGCGGGGCUCAACCCCGUAUUGGCAAUGGAAACUGCUAUUCUUGAGUGCAGGAGAGGAAAGCGGAAUUCCCAGUGUAGCGGUGAAAUGCGUAGAUAUUGGGAGGAACACCAGUGGCGAAGGCGGCUUUCUGGCCUGUGUCUGACGCUGAGGCGCGAAAGCCAGGGGAGCGAACGGGAUUAGAAACCCUAGUAGUCC
rnacentral:rRNA from 1 species